GCCUCCGUAGUUCAAAGGAUAGAAUGAUGGUUUCCGGUACCAUUGAUGUGGGUUCGAUUCCCGCCGGGGGUACAA
rnacentral:tRNA from 1 species